rnacentral:rRNA from 1 species
GACGUAGGGCGCGAGCGUUGUCCGGAUUUAUUGGGCGUAAAGAGCUCGUAGGCGGCUCGUUGCGUCGGCUGUGAAAUCCCGAGGCUCAACCUCGGGUCUGCAGUCGAUACGAGCAAACUAGAGUGUUGCAGGGGAGACUGGAAUUCCUGGUGUAGCGGUGAAAUGCGUAGAGAUCAGGAAGAACACCGGUGGCGAAAGCGCUCUGCUGGACCUUAACUGACACUGAGGGACGAAAGCUAGGGGAGCGAAUGGG